rnacentral:rRNA from 1 species
CCUACGGGAGGCAGCAGUGGGGAAUUUUGCGCAAUGGGGGAAACCCUGACGCAGCAACGCCGCGUGCGGGACGACGGCCCUCGGGUUGUAAACCGCUUUCAGUGGGGACGAUGGUGACGGUACCCACAGAAGAAGCUCCGGCUAACUACGUGCCAGCAGCCGCGGUAAUACGUAGGGAGCGAGCGUUAUCCGGAUUCAUUGGGCGUAAAGCGCGCGUAGGCGGCUGCCUAAGCGGAACCUCUAAUCCCGGGGCUCAACCUCGGGCCGGGUUCCGAACUGGGCGGCUCGAGUGCGGUAGAGGCAGGCGGAAUUCCCGGUGUAGCGGUGGAAUGCGCAGAUAUCGGGAAGAACACCGAUGGCGAAGGCAGCCUGCUGGGCCGUCACUGACGCUGAGGCGCGAAAGCUGGGGGAGCGAACAGGAUUAGAUACCCG